CAAAAGCAUAUCAAGAAGCAUAAUGAGAGACAUCAAAACUGGAUCGAAGCUCUCCAGAAAUAUCAAGUUCCCUCAACAAACAACCCCGACAGAAAACUGGAAAGAAAAAUUAGAUGGGCCAACAAACACUGUGACUAAUCCCGAAUAAAUCGGGAAAUGGUAUCACUGAGACAUGGGCAUUUCACUCUCCUUUUAACCCCGAUGGAUGAUAUCCAGAUGCCUAUCUGUACCGCCAUGAACACUAGUUGAGAGGGAUAACUCCCUUUUGUCAGAAGCAGAG
rnacentral:misc_RNA from 1 species